rnacentral:lncRNA from 1 species
UCUAGCUCCAAAAAUAUAUAUAUUCGUUUAGCAUUGUAUAAAUUCGCUCCGUUCAGAUUCGGAUUUGAAUCGUAUCUUUUGACAUCUCUAGUAAAGUUGUCCAGCCUGGCUUGGUAUGACCAUUGGCCAUGCCUUUUUUUGAAGACGCGUCUAGUUUUAUAGUGUUGCGAAAAAAUUUUAUGUCAAAUAAGGUCUAAUCAAUCAUUCAUCAGAUCUCAUCGCAUGUAAGGAUUUUAAAACGGCGAUGUAUAUAUGGUUAAAUCUUUUAAAAGGUUUUUGGAAUGGGCCUGAAACUCGUGUUUCAAACGGAGAAGCCAUUUUAUCAUGUAUAGAUAUUGUUAGUUAAUUCACGAAUUUUUAAAGAAAUAAAUUAAACGGCUGUAUUUGUAUUUUUCCAAAAAAUUCAAAAAAGCACGUGUUUUUUUGGUCAAAAAUACUUAUUUGCGAAUAAUUCGCGAGCUCCGAAUUAUUCGCCCAAAAAUACAGUUCCGCUCUCGUGCCCGCGCCAACGCCCCUGGGUCGCGGGCCUCACGGUCGCGGGUCACAGGCCUCGCGGCUCGCUCACGCUCACAGUCGAGGGUCGCAGGCCUCACAGCUCGCCCAAAACAGAAAAAACAAAACUCUUUCCAAACGUUCACCACGCCCAAAAUAGAAAAGAGAUGAAAAGAAAAAUCCUUUUCAAAUGGUUCGCCCUGCUCCCCCCGUAAAAAAAAUCAUUCGAUUAAAAAAAUUUAAUUUCUUAUAGACUAUCUUAAUCUCUUAUUUGCUUAAUUAUUUAUUUAUUUAUUUUGAGUCAUAAUAUAGUUUGUUAUUUUUUUUACUUAAUUAGCGAGCUUAUCUCAUCUCAAGCUUGGCUUGAAAUUAAUUUCAAACCUAAAUUUAGGCUUAAGCUCGGCUUGAAAUUAAUUCGAGCCGAGCUCGAGCGAGCCUAAUUUCGAGUCGAGCGAGCUCAAGCCCUAAACGAGCUGUUUGAAAUUCUUAACACCGUGCAAUCUAUAGUUUAAUUUUUAUAAAACAUUAUCUAAAAUUCCAUACAAAAAAUGUCUAAUAGCUCAACAUACAAAAUGAAUGCAUGAAAUACAAUAUUAUAAGAUUAAAAAAAAAGGAAAAGCGAUUCUGUGAGUGAGUGAAAAAGAGAGAAAAAGAGAGAAAUUAGAGUACAAUUUUGCUGGUUUGAUUUUGUGGGCCCAAUAAUCUAAAUUCUAUAUACAUAUAAUUAAAAUACAUAAUAUAUAUUAUUUUAUAUAAUUAAAAUAUAUAUUAUAUAUAAUUAUAUAGAGAGAGAGUUCGGCUACUAUACUCUUAUUAGUAUAGACCCCUUUAUACUCAUAAGUUUUCGAUUGUUAGAUCUAUACUUUUGACUAUUUCCAUCCGUAAAUCAUACUAUUCAACCAAUCAUCCACCCAAUCCUAGGGGACCACUAUCAUCCUAAUUGCACAUCCAACGGCCAAAAAUUUAUAAGUAUAAAAAGGUCUAUACUCAAAAGAGUAUAGUAGCCAUAGCCUAUAUAUAUAUAGAAUUAGAUUACUAUACUAUUAAUAGUACCAACCGCUUGUUAUUAAGUUUUCGGCCCUUAGAUGAAGGAAUGUGUGGUCAGGAUAAUUGUAGCCCCUUAGGGUUGAGGAGGUGAGUAGUUGAAUAGUAUGAUCUAAUGGAUGAAAAUGAUUAAAGAGGUAGAUCUAACGGUAGAAAACUCGAUAGCACCAAACGCUUGGUACUAUUGAUAGUAUAGUAACAGAACUCUAUAUAUAUAGAUAGAUCUAACGGCAGAUAACUCGAUAGCACAAAACGAUUGGUACUAUAAAUUGUAUAAUAGUCGGACUAUAUACAUAUAGAGAGAGAGUCCGGCUACUAUAUUAUCGAUAGUACCAAAUGCUUAGUACUGUCGAAUUUUUUACCGUUAGAUCUACCCCUUUGAGCAUUUUCACCCGAUAGAUCAUAUUAUUCAACUAAUCACCCNUUAAUAGCAUAAAUUUUGAGAGAAAAAAAUUUAAUUUAAUAGCUGAAUUUUUUAUUUCGAAUUUUUAAAGGAUGAACGUAUAAUAUCCGUAUAAAUCACGUAUAUGAAUAAUUGACGAAUUUGUGUUUUAGCCAUAUUUUUUAACGAAUUUAAAAAUAAAAAAAUAAAUUUUAUCCGAAUUAUAACUGUAUCGAAUUUUUGUCAAAUCCGAAUUAACUAUGGCACAGAUUUGAUAAUUUGUAUUUAAAUAUUCCAUACAAUUUUUGUCCGAUGCAUGCGGAAUGAGGAAGGUGCCUCACUUUGACCAGUACUUGGGUUUCUGCAUACGCGUGAGGUAGAUGACACAAAUUUUAAUCAAAUAUUAAAGAUAAAAUAAUCUUAUUGUCUUAGUUGCAUAAUCUACUCAAAUUGAAGUAUUAAACCCUGUAUCUCAAUCUCCACCGUUCGAUCUCUCCACCUUCUUUAGAUCGACGCACAAUAUCUUUUCUUUCAACACGUAGCUCCAAAUAUUAUAUAUUAUUACUAGCAAGUAACCCGUAAGAUAUGUAGAUUAAGAAGCAUUGUGGAGAACCCGAGCAAAACAGCAUUGGCUACAGGAGGGUGACAAUAAUACCAAAUUCUUCCAUGCUGUAGCCAAUGGCCGGAUGAGAACAAACAGAAUUGACGUGAUCGAAGAGAGUGGGACGGUGCAUCACUCUGAAGAGGAUAAACAGAAUGUCUUAUUUCAAAAUUUUAAAAAGCUUUACUCAUCGGAUGAGUUGGCUCCAUCAUCAUUUGGGGACUGGAGUGAGCUUUUCAGGAUGACGCGGGUUAGCCCUACCGAUCAUGUGCNUUUAUCAAGUGGCUUGUUUGUCCUCUUUUUAUUUGUUAUUCACUUGUGCUGUUCCCAGUUAAAUAAAACUUGCCUAUACGUCGAGUGUUCUAGCUCCAAAAAUAUAUAUAUUCGUUUAGCAUUGUAUAAAUUCGCUCCGUUCAGAUUCGGAUUUGAAUCGUAUCUUUUGACAUCUCUAGUAAAGUUGUCCAGCCUGGCUUGGUAUGACCAUUGGCCAUGCCUUUUUUUGAAGACGCGUCUAGUUUUAUAGUGUUGCGAAAAAAUUUUAUGUCAAAUAAGGUCUAAUCAAUCAUUCAUCAGAUCUCAUCGCAUGUAAGGAUUUUAAAACGGUGAUGUAUAUAUGGUUAAAUCUUUUAAAAGGUUUUUGGAAUGGGCCUGAAACUCGUGUUUCAAACGGAGAAGCCAUUUUAUC